rnacentral:lncRNA from 1 species
GCAAUUGAUAAAACUAGAAUAGUGAAGCGAAUAGUGCGAAUAGUGCGAAUAGUCGACGAAUAGUACGAAUAGUCCGCGAAUAGUCGACGAAUAGUACGAAUAGUCGACGAAUAGUCGACGAAUAGUACGAAUAGUCAGCGAAUAGUCGACGACUAGUACGAAUAGUACGAAUAGUCGACGAAUAGUCGAAUUUUAUCUGCGAAAAAUCGACCUUUUAACCUCAACUACAAACUUCAAAAGAGAGCCUCAAGCGUCUGAAUCUGAAAGAGAUCAUGGCAACAACGGUUUGUGACUGUGAGGUAUUUUAUAUUUCUGUUAUAUUUUUAUUAUCUUUAUUCUGAUAUUCGCUAAGGUAUGCUAGAAGUUUUAUUCGCAGUUAUGUCGAAAUGGUCAAUAUAGUAUAAAUAAUAAUGCGCACAUGUAAAUUUUGUCGUUCAACCUCAUGCAUAUAUUUAUAAACAAUUGUAAAGCUUGCUGUUG